AAUUGUCUCUGAGUUGGGGCAAACUUGGCUGUUUCAUUUUGAUGAACCUGCCUCUUGCUUAUCCACGGAACAGUCUGCUACAACAGCCUGCUUGAAUACUUUGCAUUUCGGACCAACCACCUCCACAUUUGUCAUUAUGACAGGUUGUUAUUUACGGGGAAUGGCAGGUUGUUGAAAUCCUAAAUGAAGCACUAAGGAAUGAAGCUCUAAGGACCAAUUAUAGCAACAAUGCUUAAACAUUUCAGGCAGCAAAAUUGGCUCAGCUACAAGCUUGUUUAGGCAAGAAAAAAAUGCAUAUUUCCUAUAUUUUUGAUUUAUAGACCAACCCAAAGAGUGUGUGAUUUCUGUUGAUUUUAACAUAAAGUCACCUAAAUUAGGAGUAUGCAGUUUUAACUGCAAUAGUUGGCAUGGCUAAUAUGGGAAAAAGUAGAUUAACCCGAUGCCUCCCAAAUGUGCAAAUAUGCUAAGCCAUGUUUAAAACUAAGGUAACUCUCUAGGGUAAUUUUUCUGGUCUGCUGUGAUGUCCCCAAGUGGCUGGCAAGUGUCAUCUAUUGGCAAGGCCUGAACAAGAGCACAGCAGGAAACUUUCCCCUUAUCUGUUUGAAUGAAUGACUAAGCAAAGUUUAAAGGCCAUUUCACUCUGCUCUUAAAGGUAUGUGAGCAUGAAGAUGACAUGCUCCUUUGGUUCCCAGUUUCAGUGUCUGAUCAGUUAGGCAUAAAGGUGCUUUUGUCUACACAGGUUUCAUGUGUGUGUUCUGUUGAUGAGUCUGUUGACAACUCCAUAAACUAAGUGUCUCCAAGGCAGGCAGAGAUUGAGAUUUGUUUCUCAGAGAUUAAUGAAUGUGCCUCCAUUUCUUUCCCUCAAAAGAGACAAUACCACUUCCUGUAGCUUUCCUUGCGUGCUUCAGAUUGAAAACCUUAUUGGGCUGCAGAAAGAUUUAUGAUUCACGUAUAUGUCGGUGGCUAUUACUGUAGAAUAAUCUGGAAAACUGCUAGUCACAAUUUGUUCCCUCUCAAUGGUUACCGACUGAUUCAUUAUGCUGGGCUCUUGUGUCUUCUCUCCUUCCUUCACAUCUCUCCUCAAAAUGUUAGAUUCUUUGCCACACUAUUUACAGACUGUGGUAAAUAUAGCAGGUUGAUAUCAGGGUCACUUGUAUUAUAUAUGCUAUAAUGCCUACACCAUGUAUUUUUAUGUCAAGUGAUUAAGAAAUGUAUAAGAAAAAUGGUAAUAAGCUCUCCAUCACCAUCCACCCUUCCUGGGAUAAACACUGUUAAGAGUAUCCUUCUCUCUUGUUUUCUGUAUUCAUAUGCAUGUCAUAUUAUAAUUUUUUGUCUUGCUUAACAGUUUUUUUUGACCUAAAUAGUAUAU
rnacentral:lncRNA from 1 species